rnacentral:pre_miRNA from 1 species
CAACUACUCCCUCUGUCCUAAAUUUCUUGUCUUAGAUUUGUCUAGAUACGAAUGUAUCUAAUACUAAAAUGUGACUUGAUACAUCCGUAUCUAGACAAAUCUAAGACAAGAAUUUUGGGACGGAGGGAGUACUUU